AAAGCAUUCUCUGGUGUUGAAGGCCCUGCAAAGCAGCAUCGCGGUGGCGGAGCGUCGUUUGCGACGCCCAACACACAAAACAAGCGGUGAGUGCUUUGGGGUGGGGUGACUGCGUACCUUUUGUAUAAUGGGUCAGCGACUUAUAUUCUGUAGCAAGGUUAACCGAAUAGGGGAGCCGGAGGGAAACCGAGUCUUAAUUGGGCGUUAAGUUGCAGGGUAUAGACCCGAAACCCGGUGAUCUAGCCAUGGGCAGGUUGAAGGUUGGGUAACACUAACUGGAGGACCGAACCGACUAAUGUUGAAAAAUUAGCGGAUGACCUGUGGCUGGGGGUGAAAGGCCAAUCAAACCGGGAGAUAGCUGGUUCUCCCCGAAAGCUAUUUAGGUAGCGCCUCGUGAACUCAUCUCCGGGGGUAGAGCACUGUUUCGGCUAGGGGGCCAUCCCGGCUUACCAACCCGAUGCAAACUGCGAAUACCGGAGAAUGUUAUCACGGGAGACACACGGCGGGUGCUAACGUCCGUCGUGAAGAGGGAAACAACCCAGACCGCCAGCUAAGGUCCCAAAGUCAUGGUUAAGUGGGAAACGAUGUGGGAAGGCCCAGACAGCCAGGAUGUUGGCUUAGAAGCAGCCAUCAUUUAAAGAAAGCGUAAUAGCUCACUGGUCGAGUCGGCCUGCGCGGAAGAUGUAACGGGGCUAAACCAUGCACCGAAGCUGCGGCAGCGAACGUAUCACCCAAGACAACUUUGCGGAGUUGACGAUUGACGGAGCGAAGCGACGUCAAAGCGUUCAUUAAAGUCGAGUUGGCUUAGGGAUACGUUCGUUGGGUAGGGGAGCGUUCUGUAAGCCAGUGAAGGUGUGUCGUGAGGCAUGCUGGAGGUAUCAGAAGUGCGAAUGCUGACAUAAGUAACGAUAAAGCGGGUGAAAAGCCCGCUCGCCGGAAGACCAAGGGUUCCUGUCCAACGUUAAUCGGGGCAGGGUGAGUCGACCCCUAAGGCGAGGCCGAAAGGCGUAGUCGAUGGGAAACGGGUUAAUAUUCCCGUACUUGGUGUUACUGCGAAGGGGGGACGGAGAAGGCUAUGUUGGCCGGGCGACGGUUGUCCCGGUUUAAGCGUGUAGGCUGGUUUUCCAGGCAAAUCCGGAAAAUCAAGGC
rnacentral:rRNA from 1 species